AUUGAACGCUGGCGGCAGGCUUAACACAUGCAAGUCGAGCGGAGUGAUGGUGCUUGCACUAUCACUUAGCGGCGGACGGGUGAGUAAUGCUUAGGAAUCUGCCUAUUAGUGGGGGACAACAUCUCGAAAGGGAUGCUAAUACCGCAUACGUCCUACGGGAGAAAGCAGGGGAUCACUUGUGACCUUGCGCUAAUAGAUGAGCCUAAGUCGGAUUAGCUAGUUGGUGGGGUAAAGGCCUACCAAGGCGACGAUCUGUAGCGGGUCUGAGAGGAUGAUCGGCACCACUGGGACUGAGACACGGCCCAGAAUCCUACGGGAGGCAGCAGUGGGGAAUAUUGGACAAUGGGGGGAACCCUGAUCCAGCCAUGCCGCGUGUGUGAAGAAGGCCUUAUGGUUGUAAAGCACUUUAAGCGAGGAGGAGGCUCUUUUGGUUAAUACCCAAGAUGAGUGGACGUUACUCGCAGAAUAAGCACCGGCUAACUCUGUGCCAGCCGCCGCAGUAA
rnacentral:rRNA from 1 species